rnacentral:lncRNA from 1 species
AGGAAAAAAAGCUAUUAAAAAAAUAGGGUUGCAGACAAUGAGUCUUACGAUGGAGAUAUGUGAGAAUAUAUAUGUCAUAUUAUUUUUUUUAAUUAAAGUUGACUUUUCGUUUUUUUUUUGUGUGUGUGUGUUUUUUUUUUUUUAACCAACCGCAAACGCCCGCAAUCGCAAACGCUUGCGGGAAGGAGCUUUUGAAAUCCAGCGAUUUUGAGCGAUUAGAAGCGUUUUGGAGCGUUUUGUGUGAAUGGUACUAAUCGCUCACAAUCGCAAUCGCAUGCUACCAACCGCUAGGCAGCUGAGAGCGGGAGAACCAAUCAAUAUAUUUUAUGGACAACAA